UACUGAGCUUACAGCUGGAUAAAUGAGACUUGGAUUAUACUGCAGGAGCUGUGUGAGAGUUUGUAACCAGAUGUUUUCAUAUAGUUUUGUUGUUGUUAAACACGGUCGCCGUUUAGGCUACUUCAAUUCAUGAAGAGUGUUCACCUUUUUGGAUUCUUCGGUCACCGGGAAGGCCUGCAGGAAAACUUUCCCCCAGGAUUACAACAUAACAUGCAGUCUCUUACAGCAGGAGGCAGAGAAAUAUGCUGGUUUCAUACACUGCAUCGAUUUUGCCCUCGAACAAAGACAGACAGAGAGAGAUGGAGGCAGAGAGCGGAGGCGCGGAGGAGAGGAGGAGCGAGAGAAAUGAGAGAUGGAUGAAGAGCACUUGCCACAAUGAGCCUUUGGAGGUUUGAUGGCGGAGAAUGAUGGAUUCUCCUCGCAUUGGGGCUCAGCUCUCAAACAACCAUUAUCAUUACGAAUCCUGCUGACUUCAGGGCUCAUUUGGACAAAUGGAGAGGGCUUUUGAUAUUUGAGGGAAGCCAUGUAUAAGAAUGGUUAAUGGGCAAAACACAGCCUCUUUGUCCGGACCUCUCUCUCUCACCCACGCUCGCCUCUCCCAUCCUUCAUCCCGCUUCCAUUUCCUCAUUUUCCUCUCGUUUCUCCUCCUCCGCCCGGCUCUCUCCUUCUUGUGUCCUUGUCUCCUGUGUGCCACCGCUCCCCCACCAUGCCUCCCUCUACCUGCAGAGAGCCCCUCCCCCACCCCACUGUCUCCACUGCCACGCAGUCUCUCAAAUUAAUGUAGAGAUAUUGACAAGUGAUGGGCCUGGGAAGCACAGAUCAUCAGGAGGGAGAGGAGAGGAGGGCUGGGAUGUGGCCGGGCCAAAGGGAUCGAGGGGUUUCCCUAUCAUCCACCCAACACCAGCUCACUGUAUUUUUCUUCAAACCAGGAAUAUGUUAAGUUUGUACCCUUCUUAUGUUUAAUCUUUAUAUUUCAUAUGUAAUGGAUAUGUUGAAACUCUCCACAAACACAUCUGGAAAUGUCACUGGUAUUGAACAGUGCUCCGUUGUUUGGGAGCCUGCUUGGCAGCUGUCUCGUGGUUAACGUGUGAUUGGCUUUAGGCAUAAAAAUCACUUGGUUAGGGUUAAGAAAAGAUCUUGUUUUGGCUUAGAAUACCUAGUUUGAUACCACAUUCAAGGCUGGAAAUGUCCUGA